ACGACCUUACUUGAACAGGAUCUGUUCUAUAGGCUCGUACCGUUGCAUCCUUUACCGACAAAGGAGGCAAGCAACUCAAGUCUUGUUGAUGAGGCUUAUGACCUCUGGGUCAGAGCGUGAUUUUAACGGCCUGGAUUCUCCUGUUCGGAGCCAUCCGACGGCUGUAGAGGAUCGUUCCUGCCUGGUUUGCGCCGCCGGUGCAGGGUGGCUCAGAGGUUGUCUGACACAGACU
rnacentral:snoRNA from 1 species